rnacentral:rRNA from 1 species
UACGUAGGGACCAAGCGUUGUUCGGAUUUACUGGGCGUAAAGGGCGCGUAGGCGGCUUGCCAAGUCACUUGUGAAAUCUCUGGGCUUAACCCAGAACGGCCAAGUGAAACUGGCAUGCUAGAGUGCAGAAGGGGCAAUCGGAAUUCUUGGUGUAGCGGUGAAAUGCGUAGAUAUCAAGAGGAACACCUGCGGCGAAGGCGGGUUGCUGGGCUGACACUGACGCUGAGGCGCGAAAGCUAGGGGAGCGAACGGG